rnacentral:rRNA from 1 species
AUCUCUGUAGAGUCUGCAUAUCAAUAAGCGGAGGAAAAGAAACUAACUAGGAUUCCCUCAGUAACGGCGAGUGAAGCGGGAAGAGCUCAAAUUUGAAAUCUUCAAGGUUUUACCUUGACGAAUUGUAGUUUAAAGAAGUGUUUUCUGUUGGAUGUUUUGGUAAAAGUUCUUUGGAAUAGGACAUCAUAGAGGGUGAGAAUCCCGUAUUUGACCAUUACUUUCCAACUUUGUGAUACACUUUCAAAGAGUCGGAUUGUUUGGGAAUGCAGUCCAAAAUGGGUGGUAAAUUUCAUCUAAAGCUAAAUAUUGGCGAGAGACCGAUAGCGAACAAGUACCGUGAGGGAAAGAUGAAAAGAACUUUGAAAAGAGAGUUAAACAGUACGUGAAAUUGUCAAAAGGGAAGCGUUUGACACCAGUGUUGUUUUCUCGAAAAUCAAUUAAAAAGUGUUGGAUUUUGUAUUGUUAUGACCUUAUCAAGCUUACUGUACUUUUUUCCUGCUCUUUUUAAUGCACUUUUCGUUUAACAAGUCAACAUCAAUUUCUUUUGUUGUAAAAGAGUCAUUGGAAGGUGGCUUUCACUUCGGUGAAAGUGUUUAUAGCCUUUGACUCCUGCAAUCGGAGAGAUUGAGGUCUGCAGCGUAGAUCCUUCGGGGUUAGAUACAUUUGUGCUAAGUUAUAGUUUUUCAUAGAUAACAUGUUGACUAUGAUUAAUCAUGUAGCUUACUCGCUUAUGCUAUUUUACCUACGCUUAGGAUGUUGAUCUCUCACAGUCGAGC